AUGAUGAGUUCAAGGAGGAUCUCUGCUCUGAAGAAAGACUGCAAAUCUUCAUCUCAAAAUGUGCAAGAGAUUUUACAGGUAAGAGCAAACGUUCAGCUUCACCUCUCAGUUUGGACUUUGCUACUAUCAAAGGGAUGGUGGAGCAGAAGUACCCAGCCCCAUGGAGAAGGUAGCUAGGUAGAAUGAGCAAACCCUCCCUGGUGUUGCAUACAACGUGUCUCUGUUCCACACAGGACAACAAAGAUAAAUAGCAAAGCACUUUUCAUGAGCAAUAAACACCCAGGAAAAAGUUUAUUGGACUACGGU
rnacentral:lncRNA from 1 species